rfam:Oikopleura dioica, whole genome shotgun assembly, reference scaffold set, scaffold scaffold_16
AAACAGGCCCUUUUUAGGGCCACAAAUAAUUGAAAACAGCACUACG